UUUCUCGUGGUGCGCCGCAGCAGCGCGGUAAUCCAGCUAAAAUUAACGGUUAAAUCAAGUUGUUGUGGUUAAAAGCUCGUAGUUGAACCUUGGGCCUGGCUGGCCGGUCCGCUUCACCAAAGUGCACUGGUCCGGCCGGGCCUUUCCCUCUGCGGAACCCCAUGCCCUUCACUGGGUGUGGCGGGGAAACAGGACUUUUACUUUGAAAAAAUUAGAGUGCUCAAGGCAGGCCUAUGCUCGAAUACAUUAGCAUGGAAUAAUAGAAUAGGACGUGUGGUUCUAUUUUGUUGGUUUCUAGGACCGCCGUAAUGAUUAAUAGGGACAGUCGGGGGCAUCAGUAUUCAAUUGUCAGAGGUGAAAUUCUUGGAUUUAUUGAAGACUAACUACUGCGAAAGCAUUUGCCAAGGAUGUUUUCAUUAAUCAGGAACGAAAGUUAGGGGAUCGAAGACGAUCAGAUACCGUCGUAGUCUUAACCAUAAAACUAUGCCGACUAGGGGAUCGGACGAUGUUACAUUUUUUGACGCGUUCGGCACCCUUACGAGAAAAUCAAAGUGCUUGGGGCUCCAGGGGGGAGUUAUGGUCGCAAGGGCUGAAACUUUAAAGAAAUUGGACGGAAGGGCCACCACCCAGGGGUGGGAGCCUGCGGCCUAAUUUUGACUUCAACACGGGGAAACCUCCCAGGGUCCAGAACACAAUGAGGGAUUGAAAGAUUGAAAACCUCUUUUCUUUAAUUUUGGGGGUGGUGGGUGGAUGGCCCUUCCUUAAGUUUGGGGGAAAGGGAUUUGUCUGGUUUAAUGCGAUAACAAACGGAAACCCUUAACCUGGUUAAUAAGCCCGUUAUGCUUUGGGCAGAUACGGUUGGCUUCUUAAAGGGAAUUUUCGGCUCUAGACGCAUGGAAAUUUGGAGGCAUUACACGGGUCAUUAUUGGCCCUCUUUAGAAA
rnacentral:rRNA from 1 species